GUGCUCACUUCAGCAGCACAUUUUCAAAAUUGGAACAAUACAGGGAAAAAUAGCUUGACUCCUGUACAAGGAUGACAAGUAGAUUCAUGAAGCAGUCCAUAAUUUU